GUUGUCUGUCAUGGUAACUAUAAGUAGUGGUGCCGCAGGUAUGAUAUUGAUGGCUACCUGCUUCAUCACUAUUUACUGUUAAUCUGAUAAUGUCACCAAGA
rnacentral:pre_miRNA from 1 species